AGAUAGAUAGAGAGAGAGAGAGAGAGAUGGAAGAUGAACAGCCAACCAAUGACCGAGCGGGUCAUGAGAACGAGUUGAAAGACAGGAAGAUGUCGUGGGGAAAACUCGAUCGUAUCGACUCUUUCCACGUGGAAGCCGGAAAAACUCCAUCGAAUAUCGUCAAAUCUUCUCUGAUGAGCUGGAGAAUCACACUGAGUUUGGCGUUUCAAAGCAUAGGAGUGGUGUACGGAGAUAUAGGGACAUCGCCAUUGUAUGUAUAUGCGAGC